CAGUAGCCGCGGGAAUACGUAGGGUGCGAGCGUUAAUCGGAAUUACUGGGCGUAAAGCGUGCGCAGGCGGUUUUGUAAGACAGAGGUGAAAUCCCCGGGCUCAACCUGGGAACUGCCUUUGUGACUGCAAGGCUAGAGUACGGCAGAGGGGGAUGGAAUUCCGCGUGUAGCAGUGAAAUGCGUAGAUAUGCGGAGGAACACCGAUGGCGAAGGCAAUCCCCUGGGCCUGUACUGACGCUCAUGCACGAAAGCGUGGGGAGCAAACAGGAUUAGAUACCCCUGUAGUCCCUGUCUCUUAUAC
rnacentral:rRNA from 1 species